GGACCUGUAGUUCAGUUAGUUCGAGGAGACGGCUCAUAACCAUCCGGUCGUUGGUUCGAGCCCAACAAGGUCCA
rnacentral:tRNA from 1 species